rnacentral:tmRNA from 1 species
GGGGAUAACAUCCAUGAGUCAAUCAUCGUCAGGUAAGACUCGUACACACGGCAAACAACAAAACAACUACGCUUUCGCAGCUUAAUAACCUGUGUGCGUGCUUCUACCCUGCAUCGCCCAUGUGACAGGGAUAGGGGCUAACAAGUAGUGGGAUACGCUGUCUGAUCUCCGCCUGGGGUCAGCAGAAGAAGAUAAUCAGGCUGACCCUAUAGCCGGUUACGGGGCGAUACUCGGGUGACAUCAAAACUGUGACUACACUCGUAGAAACUUAUGUGCGUUAUCUUCGGACAGGGGUUCGACUCCCCUC